GAAAGCGCGGCGUAACUAGAGUCCGUAUGCUGUCCAUUACGAUGGUAGAGAGUCCGCAAAUGAUACACUGUCCUUGAGCAACUGGUCCGAAAUUGUCCGACCCGAACCAUUAAGAAGAGCCAGCGGUGGCAUUAUAUACGAUAGGCACGGAGGUAAGGCUGAAUUUAGUCCCCACGGGACCAGCUGCGUCGCACCCGUCCCACUCCUCGAUGACCG
rnacentral:misc_RNA from 1 species